rnacentral:rRNA from 1 species
GAUGAACGCUGGCGGCGUGCCUAAUACAUGCAAGUCGAGCGAACAGACGAGGAGCUUGCUCCUCUGACGUUAGCGGCGCACGGGUGAGUAACACGUGGAUAACCUACCUAUAAGACUGGGAUAACUUCGGGAAACCGGAGCUAAUACCGGAUAAUAUCUUGAACCGCAUGGUUCAAUAGUGGAAGACGGUUUUGCUGUCACUUAUAGAUGGAUCCGCGCCGCAUUAGCUAGUUGGUAAGGUAACGGCUUACCAAGGCAACGAUGCGUAGCCGACCUGAGAGGGUGUUCGGCCACACUGGAACUGAUCCACGGUCCAGACUCCUACGGGAGGCAGCAGUAGGGAGUCUUCCGCAAUGGGCGAAAGCCUGACGGAGCAACGCCGCGUGAGUGAUGAAGGUCUUCGGAUCGUAAAACUCUGUUAUUGGGUAAGAACAAAUGUGUAAGUAACUAUGCACGUCUUGACGGUACCUAAUCAGAAAGCCACGGCUAACUACGUG